rnacentral:rRNA from 1 species
CCCUUAGAUAACCUGGGCUGCACGCGCGCUACAAUGGUAGGGUAAGCGAGUAUAUCCUGUUUCGCAAGAAAUGGGUAAUCUUAGAAUCCCUACCGUGAUCGGAAUCGAUGCUUGUAAUUAUUCAUCGUGAACGAGGUAUUCCUAGUAAGCACGGGUCAUCAACUCGUGCUGAUUACGUCCCUGCCCUUUGUACACACCGCCCGUCGCUGCCUCCGAUUGAGUGUUGAGGUGAAUUAUCUGGACAAUUUGAGCUUUACUUAAACUGAAAAUUUUGUAAACCUUAACACUUAGAGGAAGCAGAAGUCGUAACA